rnacentral:lncRNA from 1 species
AUAUAAUGUAUACAUACAUAUACAUCCAUGUUAAUAUGUGUGUGUGUGUGUGUGUUAUGGGCUGACUUAUGUCCCCCCAAAUUCAUAUGUUAAAGUCCUAACACCUAGCACCUCAGAAUGUGACCGUAUUUGCGGAUGGGGCCUUUAAAGAGGUAAUUAAGUUAAAUGAGGUCAUAAUGGUAGGCCCUAAUCCACUGUAACUGGUGCUCUUAUAAGAAGGGGAAAUUUGGACACAGACACACAGAGCAAAGACCACGUGAGAACACAGGGAGAAGACGGCCAUCAACAAGCCAAGGAGAGAGUCCUCAGGAGAAACCAACCCCGCUGGCACCCUCAUCUCAGACUUCCAGCCUCCUGAACUGAAACAGGCUGCUGCUGCCACCUGGGGGAGGUUCUUCCGCUCCCUUCAAGAAAGCCAAAUGUGCUCGUCAGACGGAUGAAUCCGUCCAUGUUUUCCUCGUCAGAUCCACACGGGAAGAAGACUUUCUAACUUUCUGCCCAUGAAGUUGUAAGGCAUUCUAGAUGUCUCCAAGAUUGCUUCACACAGAAAUACACACCGCACAGACUUUUUGAGAGGCACAGGAGAAGAUGCUUCUACAUCUUACACACUAAGAAAGUAUUUGGGAAAGUACGGGUUAUAUACUAAGAAGUGGAAAAGUCAAAUUUAAGCUUUCACUAAUAAAAUAAAACACCAAUUUUUAAGAAAAAUUUAUUUAGCCUCAAGUUAUAGUUAAUUGUACUCCUUUUCUGAAAUGUGCUAUCAUUAAUUGAUAUGGAAACUGCAUGUGCCAAUAUAAUCACGCUAGUGAUUGUAUCAGUUAGGAUAAGACAAUCACUUUCACUUACAUGGAAAUAGCCAAGAGAGGCUUUUUAGAGAAUUUCUAAAUUUAUGAACUGAAUACUGUUAUGAAGUCAACAUCUAUUUAUAGCAUGUAUAUUAUAUAUCCAUUUGUUGAAACUUUUCUUAUAGUCGUGAUAUGGUGCUCACCAAUUACAAUGGAAAACACACAGUCCCAGUCCCGGCGCGGCACAGCAACACCGCCACAGCACACAGUCCCGGUCCCGGCGUGGCACGGCGACACCGUCACAGCGCCCAGUCCCGGUCCCAGCACGGCACAGCAACACCGUCACAGUGCCCAGUCCUGGUCCCAGCGUGGCACAGCGACACCAUCACAGCACACACGCCCAGUCCCGGCAUGGCACGGCGACACCGUCACAGCACACAGUCCCGGGCACGGC